rnacentral:rRNA from 1 species
UACGAAGGGGGCUAGCGUUGUUCGGAAUUACUGGGCGUAAAGCGCGCGCAGGCGGUCUUCCAAGUCAGUGGUGAAAGCCCGGAGCUCAACUCCGGAACUGCCAUUGAAACUGUUGGACUUGAGUACGAGAGAGGUGAGUGGAAUUCCCAGUGUAGAGGUGAAAUUCGUAGAUAUUGGGAAGAACACCGGUGGCGAAGGCGGCUCACUGGCUCGUAACUGACGCUGAGACGCGAAAGCGUGGGGAGCAAACAGG